GAUUUUCAAAAUACUAAAGUGACACCUACCAAAAAUGUCAACGUCUAGAUGCAUUACUUCAACAU